UCUCCACAGGCCAUCGUCAGCCGCCGCCGUCGCCCGUCAUUGUCUUCCUCACUGCCUGCUUGUCAUUGUCGGUUAGGGGGUAAGGAUUUGCCUCCCCUUCCAACAAAUCGAUUUCGUUCUUCCAGUGCCAGCAUUAUGCGCUGAUUUGUUACCGCCAAGGUCCAGGUUCCCACGCUCACGAUGAAGAGGCUAUGGCAAAGGGCAUGCAGAGGAGCAGCAGGGCUCACUGAGGGGGAGAGGGCGUUACAAAGGGGAGCCGUGAAGGAGGAGGGGCCGCGGCAGCAGGAGCUCGCGAUGGCGGAGAAGAUUCCGUGGUGGUGAAGCGGAGCUUGCAUAUGUGCGGACCGCGCUCCGCAGGAGAGCGUGCGCCACCGGCAAGGCUGCGCCCACGUCGCUGAAGUAGCAGGGGAAGCCGAAGGAGGGGGCGCGGCAUCCCGUGGCCGCGGUAGCCGGCGGGGCGACCCACGUCGCUGAAGUAGCAGGGGAAGCCGAACGAGGGCGCACGGCAUCCUGUGGCCACGAUAGCCGGCGGGGCGACGCGGCAUCGCUGACUCUGCAUCCACCGCCGUCCCUUUGAGUCUCGCGUGGUGGCCUGCAGGGUGACAGGAGGAGGGGCACGGGUUGCUGCUCAUGGCACUGCUGCGCCCAGGCUCUUCCUCCUCGACAAGUCUAGGUCAUUCCUCAUCUCAUCUGACCGCACUCAUGCCACAUAACCUGCUACAGCCGCGCGCUGUGUGUGGCGAGGGAUUAAUUCUCCUGUGCAGUAAUACCCUUUUUGGAGUGUCCCAUGUUUGCAACUAUCCUUAUCUGCAGAGAAAAACAAAGGGACAAACAAAGUCCGGAUGCAAGGUGCAAGACAGGAAAGGCGGUAGUAGGUCGAGAGAAGUGUAGAAGAGGGUUCCUCCAGGCUCCGUCCAUGUACGGUGUCGGUCCGAUGCCUCGGGCAUGUGGCAAUGUCGGGGACCAGCGAGGAAGAUGCUGGUGUACAUCCUUUGGAAUAAAGUUGAAGUCUCUGAUAUAACGGUUCAGAAUAAAUAUCCAAUGAAGAUGAUGCGUGACGAACAGCAUGAAAGUAACUAUCAAGGAAGAAGAGUUAGAUGCUAGCGACAUACCUGUCGAAGAUAUUGGCGGUAAGCAUGUGUCGUACAGGUUAUUUAAGCUUUCCCUUAAGCCAUUCUUAGCCAACCCCGUGCAGUCCAUGCGCUAUGCAUAAGAACCACAGAUCGCUCAAGCAGCGUCGAAGCCUGCCUGUGACUGUUCCAAAUGCAUGCUUAUCAAUCCAGGUCCGACUUCUGUUCCACCAGUCUACUUCAAAAUGUUAGACAUCCAACAGUUACAGAUGUUCACGCUGCUUACUUCCUACCUUACUGCUUCAUUGUUUUAUUACAAAAGCCAGCUCUGAGGCAAAAACUUGAACACAGAGCUUCACACAGCAAUGUUUGCCUCAGCAACAACGCCACAGGUUAUGAUAAAUAUCGUCGUGUGGCUUAUGGAAGGAGCUGCUGACAGGACUAUCUUAACAACAAACUUGACGGAGUUCUUCACAUAGCAAACAUAGAUGAAGGAACGAUGUAUGCCUUCACCUUUAGGCGCAAGGCAAAGCGCCAACGCCUCUAACCAUUCACUCCAUAUGAGGACACCAUCAUAAACCUUCAGUGUCACCUAUAUACAGCUUGUGUACAGGACUUCAUGUUUAUAAUGCUCCUAUGCUAUCUCCACAUUGGUUUGUCUUUCCUUAUGGAUUACCUCUUAGUAUAGAUAUUAUAGAUCGUUCAUUUGAACUACUAUAAGUAUCAGCGAAGAUAGAUAAGCCUAUAUUUCUCUCUUCCUUAAGGUGCCCUGCAAUAGUCACAUAAUGCACGGUUCUAACUGGCUUUUUGCGCCAUGGGCGCGACGGGUCAUCUAGUAUAUAUAAAUGAUGGUUUCUCAGCUCCAUCGAGGACGUUCACAUUGAGCUUUUUCCCUU